UACGUAGGGGGCUAGCGUUGUCCGGAAUCAUUGGGCGUAAAGAGCGUGUAGGCGGAUCGUUAAGUGCCUUGUGAAAUCCCACAGCUCAACUGUGGAACUGCUUGGCAUACUGGCGGUCUUGAGCCAUCUAGGGGUCGCUGGAACAAACGGUGGAGCGGUGAAAUGCGUAGAUAUCGUUUGGAACGCCAAUGGUGAAAACAGGCGACUGGGGAUGUGCUGACGCUGAGACACGAAAGCCAGGGGAGCAAACGGG
rnacentral:rRNA from 1 species